GGAGUUGUAACUCAGUGAUAGAGUACUUGCCUAGCAUGUGUGAGGCACUGGGUUCAAUUCUCAGCACCA
rnacentral:tRNA from 1 species